AUAGUCUAGUGUUGCGCUUGGGAGAGCCCAGACGCUGACAGGCAUACGCCUCCUCCACCCGGUGCAGCGAUGGCUGAAUUUUCUGAAGGAAUCCUGGAAAUUAUACGGAGUACUCUGUGUGCAUAUAUCAUGAUCGUUCCUGGUUUUUGGCCAUCGGGUCUUCGAUUUUAUCUGCAGAGUCUACCCCCGCAAACACAUCUUUCGAACAACGUGUAGCUUACAAUGUCGGUUUGAGCUAGUGACAUAUCUUAUCAGGUAUUGUACAGUACUUUGUAACCUAGGACAAAAAGGUCCGACAUUGUUUUUUUGUAAAUGAACCCGUCAUAGAAUACAACAUAGGAAUUCAUCUCACGAUGCAUCCAGCCUCCUGAGUCCUCAAUGCGGCGAUCUUGUCAUCAAUAACCGCAAUCUCUGCAUCAACAGCCAGCAGUUUCUCGUUCAGCAUCUCUAUAUACUCCUCAUCUGGUAACGGUCUCAAGAGCAUCCAUUUGGACUCCAACAUACGCUGGACCAAGGGUUUCUGAGGUGCAGUUCGAUCCCUUGAUAACUGCCAUCUAUCAAUGACAUCAUAUGACUUCUGUCCGAGGAAGCCUGCUAUUCCAAAUAUCACCGCUCCAGGCAUAAAUCGUCGGUCUAAUAUAUAUCACAUCGUCAGAGAAAACGCAAUUGCUCCUCCUGAUAACCCGCUAGAAACUGAGCUUGCAAACGCGCGUUGCCCGGCUGUUGGUUUGUCGUUAAAUUGAAUUCUGAGGAUAUUACUCCUAAGCCCUACACAAAAUUUCGAUACCUUGAGUUAUAGAACAAUUUUAAAUGAAGGUGAAAAUAAAGUCCCUUACACCAUGACGAGGUUCCAAAGGCAAACCAAUGGAUACCAGCUGCGAUCGAAUGGAUCGCCGGGUUCGGUGAGCGUAAGACGCCCGUAAUCCCGCCAAAUAUGAGGCCAGAGACACCUGCAUAUGUAAGAUUGGAAUUUAGAAAUAGCAAAGCGAACAUGCGGACAUGCGAAAUUCGGCGAGAAGAGUAAUAAAAUCGUAAAUCAAAUAUAUAUGGGAUGGGGUUGGGAGACAGGGCAAAGCAUGCAAUAAAAACACCGCUUCCUUUUCGCAAUAUUGAAAAACAACCGAAAAAAAAGUAUAGAAACAAUGAAUGACAUAACAACAUUGAAAAGGAUAAAAGGGAAAAAUGUUUCACCAACCACUGAAUGCCCCAACUUUCAGAGCAGGCAUGACUGUCCACACAUUCUGUGCCUGAUCACUCUGAUCACGGCGGAUGUUCCCAUCCAUCCCACUCAUCCUCUCAACUUCGACUCCCCGAAGUCAGCCGUAUCAGGCGUAUGUGGCGUAUGUUUGGCAGAGCAUG
rnacentral:sRNA from 2 species